AAGGGCGCGCCUUCGCGGCGUCGCGGAGGCGGGUCUUCGGUGACUACACUGGAGUCCGCCUUCGGCGGCGUCAGGCGGGCGAUACAGUUCCUAGAGCCGAUUUGCGCCCUCCUCAGAGUGUACCCUGGCAGCCGCGACCUCCCCGCCAGGUCCUGUGUGCUGCUGGCUGAAGAAGGGCAGUUGACAAACUCCGAACCAGCACAGUGUUUGUGUUGGUCAAAAACAGAAAACUGUGUCGGCCCGCCGAAGGGGGAGGAUCCCUUCAGGCCAGGAGUUCAAGAGCAUCCUGGGCAACAUGGCGCGACCCUAUCUCUGUAGUCCCACCUCAGCCUCCCAGCUGCUUGAACCCGAGGUUCAAGGCUACACUGAGCGAUGAUCCUACCACAGCACUCCAGCCUGCGAGACUGAGAUGAUGAUGGUUCUCCACCUUCUAAGAGACCAAAGACCAACAAGCUACCAUAGCCACCAGUUCCAGAACCUGCCAAUACUGGGCAACGGAGGGUGAGAAAUUCAACUUCGAUCAGAAUUUCUUACAGUACAACUGAAGUUACUUGGCCAAGAACAAAUAAAACAGUAACUCCAGUGGGCCUCCAUUGUCUCCAAGUCAACUUUCCUCCUCAUCUACAACUCCUCCACACCAGCCCUGAACACCUGUUUACAAUGUCUUUAUGUCACUUCCAGCUGGAUUUACCAUGAAAGACUUCAGAGUCCAGGAAGAGACUGACUGGGCAGCAUGUUACUCAGGAGACGGGGUCUCGCUCUGUCACCUUGGCUGGAGUAGAGUGGUGCAAUCACAGCUCACUGCAGGCUUGAAAUCCUGGGCUGAGGAUUCUCCUGCCUCCGCCUCCUGAGUAGCUGGGACUGUAGGGUCUUGCUCUAUUGUCCAUGCCACAGUGCAGUGGUGCUAUCACAGCUGAAUGCAGCCAUGACCUCCCAGGUUCAAGCGAUCCUCCCACCUCAGCUUCCCAAAUGGCUGAGACUAUAGGUGUUUGCCAUUAUGCCCAACCAGUAUUUCGACUUCUCCUAUACGUGGGUUCCAGAGGGCUGACUGAAAUGUGAGUAUGCAUGAAGUUUGGUAUGUGCAGAGAUGGGGAGCUGGAAGUAAUCCUGUCUUUACACUGAGGGGUGACUGUAGAUGUUCUUACAGUUAUGCUGGAGGACACGUAUUGUUCCAUAGCCUUGAAAAUGAUAGUGUUAGUACCAAAUAUGUUUUAAUUGAGUCGAAUAAUAAUAAUUUUUAAAAAGCAGCUGGCCAAAUGUGGUGGCUGACACCGGUAAUCACAACACUUUGGGAGGCUGAGGCAGGAGGAUGGCCUGAGGCCAAGAGUCUGAGACAGGCCUCAUUGACAAAGGGAGUCACUACCCCAGUGGAAAAAUACAUGAAUUAGCCUAGCGUGGUGGCAUGUGCCUGUAGUCCCAGCUGCUUGAGUCCAGGGAGGCUGAGACUGCAGUGAGUCAUAAUCAGGCCUCUGCACUCCAGCCUGGGUGACAGAGUGAGACCCUGUCUCAAAACAACAAAAAACCAGCAGCUAACACUAACUGCUCUUUCACCAGGGGCCUAAAAAUACCCUAAUUCAAUUUCUUAUAACUGUUUAUUUCACUUAACCUGUCUGAAAUUACUCCCAGAUUUUCAGUGUUUGUGCAGAUGACUUUUGGUUUAGGUUGAAUUGUCUCCCAAGGUAUUUUCAGAAGUGAGAGUACUGUGAGUCACGGUGAAUGGACAUUCUCAUUGCCCUUGAUGUAAAUUGACAAGGUGUUGGGUGCCUCCCAGCUAUAAUCCCGGCACUAAGCCUAAGGAGGGAGGGAGGCUAAGGCAGGAGGAUUGCUUGAGGCCAGCAGUAUGGUGAGACACUGUCUCUAUUACUUAAAACAAUUGCUGAGCUUUACCUUGGAAGGAUUAUGUACAAUUUAAACAUCCCCCACAGUAUAAGAAAGUGCCCACUUCACCGUACCUUUCCGAGCACAAGGUAUUAUACUUUAAUAAGUUAUUUAUUAUUUUAAAUAGAUAAAAACCUCAUUUGCUUUAUUUAUUUGUCACAUUUCAACACCUUUCCUUAGCUUAGCUUAUUAGCUCUAUUUUUCUGUCUGUAAAUGGUUGGCCUUGUUAUUUUGUUCUGAGACAGGGUCUUGCUCUGUCACCCAGGCUUGACUGUAGUGGCAUAAUCAUGACUCACUGCAGCCUUGACCUCCCAGGCUCAAACUACCCUCUCUCUCCAGCUUCCUGAGUAGCUGGGACUACAAGUGUGCACCUCCACACCCAGCCAAGUUUUUUCUUUUUGUGGAUAGAGACAGGGUCUCGCUCUGCUGCCCAGGCCGGUCUCUAGCUCCUGGCCUCAGCAGUCCUCCUGUAUUGUCCUGUUAGGUUGCUGGAAUUUCAGGCAUGAGCCACCAUGCCUGGCAUUGACCAGUCCUAUAUUCUCUAGAGCUCUUUACUUUGUGCUAGCCAAUCUCUCAUUAUGCUGCUCCCCGUUAUAAUGAAUAAUUCUCAUAUUAAAUUUUACCACUUUAAACUUUUGAGUGGUUUAUGUCUCCUGAUUGCACUCUAUUACAGAGCUGAUUCUAGGAAGGGUCCCAGGAGAUAGACCCACACAGAUGGGAUUCGGGCAUAGGUUUGGUUAUCCAAGGGGCAGUGCCAAGCUCCUUGCCAAUGGGAAAUGGGACACUGCUUAUUUCAGGGAGGGACCUUAUCAUGACUCAAGCUACCACUUACUGUCGAUUGUGAUGAAAUGCCAGCUGAGGCCCAUGCUUUGGGAGCUAAGUGGUUGUUGCACUUGACCACUGUAAUGACUGGGGUGGAAAGGGUCCUUUUGAAUGUACUUGAGCAGAGGUCCCCAAACCCGGAGCCAUGGAGCUGUAAGGAGCCACACAGCAGGAGGUGAGUGAUGUCUAGUGAGGGAAGCUUCACAUUCCUGCCUGAGCUCUGCCUUCUCUCAGAUCAGCAGCAACAUUAGAUUGUCUUAGGAGCAUGAACCCCAUUGUGAACCAUGCAUGCCAGGGAUCAAGGUUGCGUGGUCCCUGUGAGAAUAAUGCCUGAUGAUCUGUCACUGUCUCCUGUCACACUCAGAUGGGACCGUCUAGCUCAGGAAAACAAGCUUAAUGGACACUAAUUCUAAAUUACGGUGAGCUCUGUAAUUAUUUCAUCACAUAUUACAAUGUAUUAAUGGAAAUAAAGUGCCCAAUAAACGUAAUGUGCUUGAAUCUUUUGGCUCCGCUCCUGCCUCCUCGCAGCCUUUCCAGGCCCAGAACUUUUUCCAUGUCGGCCUCCACAGCUCAUGGCUCACAAUGGCCUAUUUAGGCCUAUACCCUACCUCAUGGUAGUCUUUGCAGUUGAGGCUACCGCCUCGCAGCAGUGUUCACAAGCCCAGCUCCUCCCUUACAAUGGCCUUUCUAGUUGCAGCUCCUGACUCUGGGUGGCCUAUCCAGGCCCAAAGUGUCCACAAGUCAGCCUCUCAGGUCCCAGAUCUUCCUCCCAGCUGUGCCUAGAGGCCCAGCACCUGCCUCACAACAACCUCUUUCAUCUCAGCUCCUGCCUAGCUCCUGGUGACAUUUUUAGGCCCAAAACUACCUCAAGUCAAGCUCUCCAGGUCUAGGUUCAGCCUCUCAAUGACUUGGACAGGCCCAGCUCCUGAGUGACAGUGGCCUCUCCAGGCCUGGCUUUGCCUCAUGGAGGUCUUCCCCGAACAACUUUUUAACCUGCCUCCUGGCAGCCUCGACAGGCCCAGGUCCUGCCCAUAAACAGGCUCUCCAGGCUGGAGUCUUCCUCAAGUUGGCAACUCCAGGACAAGCACUUGCCUCACACUGGGCUCUUUAGGCUCAGCUUAUGCCUCUUGGCAGCCUCCCCAGGCAAAGCUACUGAAUGCCGGCAGCCUCUACAGGCCCAGGUCCUCACUCACAUCUGCCUCUACAGGCCUAACCUCUGCCUCACAGCAGACUCUUCACAUCCAGCAUCUGCCUCAUGAUGGCCCCAAGAAGCCAAGCUCCUGCCUUUCAGCAGCCUCUACACACCCAGUUCCUGCCACCCCAUGGCCUCUUUAGGCCAAGAUCAGGCCUCACAGGUGCCUUUCCGGAUGAAGAUUUUGCCUCACGGGAACCUUCCCUGGCUAGGUGGCUGUCUGUUCCCUGGAAGCCUGGAUAGGCCCAGGUCCUGCCCAUACUGGCAUCUCUGUGCAAAACUUUGAACUCACAAUGGCAUCUCCAGCUGCAGGUUUGGUCCUGGACGGCGUCUCCAGGCACAAAACUUCCACCCACUUACUGUCCCCAGUGGCCUCUGAAUGCCCAGCACCUGCCUCCCACUGACCUCUGAAAACCCAGGCUCUUUCCACUGCAGAUUUUCCAGGCCCAACUCUGUCUUGGCUGAGGAUACAGGAACACUUGCUGCCUCAUAACAACUUCUUUUGGCCCAGCUCCUGACAGUUUGCCAAGGGCCAAUAUAUGCCCAAAACGUCCUUAAGUCAACCUUUCCAGACCCAGCUUCUCUCUCCCAGUGGCAUGUAAAGGCUCAGCUUUAGCAUGAAAAAGGCCUCUGCACCACUCACCCUUUACUUCUCGAAGACCUUUAGAGGUGUCUCUGGACCCAGAUCGUGCUUCUGCUUUCAUGGCCCCUCCAGGCGCAGGUGCUACCUCCCGGAAAUCCUCCGGGCCCAGCUCUUCCUCCCGGCUGCAUCUACAGACCCAGCUCCUGCCUCACAACGACGACGUUUGGCCCCACUCCUACCCAGCUCCGCAGACCUCAGCCUUCCUCAGGUCGGGCUUUCCAGGCCCGUCCUCUGUGUCAUGUCCGCCUCUCAAGGUGCAGCUUCUGUUUCACAGCAGCCUCUUUUAGCCGAGCUCCUGCCUCGCAGUGGCCUCUUCAGGCUUAUCUUCUGCCUCUUAGUGGACACUCAAGGCCCAUCUCCUCUCUCACGGUGGUCUUUUGUGUCCCGCACUUGCCUUUCAGUGGUCUCUUCUGGAUCCAGCUCUACAGGUGUUUGAUUGUCAACUGCAUCCUGAAGCCCAAAGCUUCCCUGGACUCUCAUGAGUUCACUUCCCAGCAGCCUUAGCUAAAGGCCUGAGUCUACUUUUACCUUGAGAGGGGAUUUCUGCCGGCUUGGUAGUAAACUCUGCUGUAUCUUUCUACAGUGCUGUCUGCUGUAUUGAAUGUCUCAUGGUUUUUCUUCUCUCCUGGGGGUUUGCAGCGGACUGGGCCUCUGCUUGGGCUGUUUGUCUUUGCCCUGGACAUGGUAGCUGCUCGUUUCAUGUCUUCUUUGUGUAUAUUUUUUACAGUUAACUUUGGUUUUUCUUAUGGUCUUGCUCUGUCACCCAGGCUUGGGUGUCGUCGUGUGAUCAUGGUUCCACUGCUGCCUUGGCCUUUUGGCCUCCACUGAUUUUCCCAAGUCAGCGUCUUCAGUAGCUGACACUACAGGCAGAUGCUGCCAUUUCUAACUAAUUUCUGAUUUGGUUUGAAAGGUUGGUUCUCACUCUGUUGCUUAGGCUGGUCUUUCCUUUUUUUUUUUUUGAGACUGAACCUUGCUCAGUUGCCCAGUCUAGAGUGCAGUGGCAGGAUCACAGCUCACUGCAGCCUCAGCCUCACGGGUUCAAUCGAUUCUCCUGCCUCAGCCUCCUGAGUAACUUGGAUUACAGGUUUGGCCACCACACCCGGCUAAUUUUUGUAUUAUUAGUAGAGAUGAGGAUUCACCAUGUUGGUCAAGCUGGUCUUGAACUCCCGAUCUUGUGAUCUGCACACCUCGGUCUCCCAACGUGCUGGGAUUACCGGCAUGAGCCACCGCGCCCAGCCUAGACUGUUCUUAAACUUUUGGACCCAAGUAAUCCUCUUGCCUGGGCCUCUCAGAGUGCUGAGAUUGCAGUCAUGAGCCAUCAUCCGUGGCCUGUCCUUUGCUUACCAUGAAGUAUUGAUAAUUUACUCUUCCAUUGAUAUACUAUGAUUACAUACGUUGAUGAAUAUAUAGAUUUUCAAACUUCUGGGAUACCAUUUUUUUGUUUGUUUGUUUGUUUGUUUUUUUGAGGCAAGUUACUGCUUCGUCAUUCAGGCUGAAGCGCAGUGGUGUGAUCUCGGCUCACCACACCUCUACCUUCAUGGCUUAAGUCAUCCUCCCACCUCAGCCUCCUGAGUAGCUGGGACCGCAGGUACGGGCCGCCAUGCCCAUCUAAUUCUUAUAUUUGUUGUAGAGAUGGGGUCUCACCAUGUUUCCCAGGCCUGUUUCAAACUCCUGGGCUCAAGUGAUCCUCCCCCAUCAACCUCCUGCUGUGCUGGGACUACAAGUGUGAGCCCCUACACCUGGCCUGCCAUUCUCUUUUCAUGGAUCAUUAAGAAGUUACCUUUUAAUUAGUACACUAUGAAUACAUAUGUAGAUAUGUGUGUAGGUAUUUAUAUGUGAAUAUGUGUGUAUGUAUAUGUGAAUAUAUGUAUGUAUUUAUAUGUGAAUAUGUGUGUGUAUGUAUUUUCAUAGCAUACACACACUCCCACAUAUGCAUUGUGAAAGAGAUAUUUCCUUGCAUAGAAAUCGAUAAGCUUCUUCCAGCUUUUGAAACCACCCUUGGCACAGACACGAAAGAAGUACCAAGAAUCAUUAUUAAUGACCAUGGACCAAGAGGACCAUGCGUCCGUAGUACUUUGCGGCUCAACCAGCUUCCAGCAGAGCAUCUCAAAGGGCUGAAUAUACCUGAACAUCACACCCUUUCACAUAGAUUAAGAUGGUUUGUAAUUAUUACUUCUCGAGACCUCAGUGUGACCCCCAUCAGUGUAAAAUUAGAAACUAUUUCCCAAAUCAUAGAGAUGUUGAAGAACAGCUUUGGUCAGGAAAUAGUUAUGGCAUUUGGUUAGUCAUGACAAGCUCCUGGCCUAGGCAGAUAGAAUAUUGCAGAAGAGAGAGAGAGUGAGUGUGUGUGUGUGUGUGUGAGUGUGUGUGUGUGUGUGUACAUUCUUGCACACAGAUGUGGAGGUAGAAGUAGGGGGUUGAAUUGGAUAAAACCAGAAGGGGGCAGGCUGCUGGAAGGGGCACUUGUUUUGGUAGCAGCUGUGGAACUCUAGAGUUAAGAAAUAAUUAUAAUUCUCAGUUUUUUCUCCUGGAAAAUAAAGAUUAUAAUUCCUGCCUUGAUAUGUCAAUUAGGUGAUCCACUAUAUGCAAAAUAUCUAGUAUAUAAUAGGAGCUGAAUAAAUCCUACUUUCUGUAGCUCAUUCUUAAUCACUGUUUAAUUUUUAAAAGUUUAGAAUGAGAAUGGCUUUUGUACAAAUUAUUUGUAAUUAUUAUAUAAAAUCUAAGUCCUAUAGAAAAGUAGAGAGAGAGAGAGAGAGAGAGGUAAUAAAUCAAAAAAUUUUCAGUUGCCAAGAAAUAACUCAACAUUAUGUGAUAUGGCCCAGCACGACAUCUCAUGCCUGCGAUCCCAGCACUUUGGGAGGCUGAAGUGGGCAGAUCACUUAAAGUCAGGAGUUCGAGACCAGCCUGGCCAACAUGGUGAAACUCCGUCUCUACUAGAAAUUCUGAAAUUUCUUCUGAUUGUGCUUUUAAAUUAAAAAAAAAAAAUUCCAAAAUUAUCCAGGCAUUGUGAUGGGUGCCUAUCAUCCCAACUACUCAAGAGGCUGAGGGACAAGAAUCACUUGAGCCUGGAAGGAAGAGGUUGUAGGGAGUUGAGAUUGUACCAUUCCACUCCAGCCUAGGCAACAGAGUGAGACUCUGUCUCAAAAAAAAAAAAAAGUGAGAAUUAAUUCAAAACUUUUUGUGCAAAUAAGUAGUUAGAUAAAUAAA